UCGGGUGUGGGGCCUCAGUGUUCCCAUCUGCGAAAUGGAGUGAGACGAGACGACCUCAUAUAGAGUUGGGUUUUAAUAUUUUGUGAGUCAAUGAGACCCUUCACCCUAACUUGGCUCAUGUUCCCUACCCAUCUUCCCCUAAAGCUACCAUCAUCAAGGCCACUGAUCUCCAAGAGAUCAGUGAGCAAUGGCUUGAAGCAAGAUCUUAAUUCCCUGCUCAGCAUUUGAACCUGGGCAGGCUGGGUUGAAAACCAGGAGUCCCAGCUGCUAACCCAACAAGAGGCUACAGGCGAAAAGCACAGUGGCCCUUAUUCUUGCCCCUGUUGAAAGCAAGAAUGCUUCAAGGAGGCCAAGACUGAAAAAACAGGUGCAAAGUUUAUCAUCACAGACACAGGGAGAGCACACGGAGAAGAAGUCUAUUUAUUUAUACUCCAAAGAGAAGUGGGAGUGGGAGCGUCCUCCUGAAUGGGGAGCUCCUCAGCGAGGUGAUUUCAAUCACUUAUACGGGACUGAUCUUCAGGGUCUUUGUUUUCCUUUGGCCCAUUUUCUUGUGUUAUUUCUCACACCUGACUGGACCCAGGGCCCUCCCCUAUGCAUGUGCAUCUUUUGGCCAAAAUGGAUUCCAGAGCAAGGGCUUAUGGGAUGGUUAAUGGGACUUUUUAGGGCCUGGUGUCCCCUCCUAUUUUGACCCCCAGGGGUCUUCUUUCACACAUCUAAUCAGGGAGGUUUCAUUGACCCCCCAAGAGUGAUUCAAGUGGUCCUCUUACAUUUUUACUACAGUAGAGCUCAGCUCCUGCCAUGAACUUUCUCCUCGAUGUGUCAAAGAGAAGCAAGGCCCAGUGCACUCAGCACAACAAGUCCCCACUAUUCUCAGCCCAGGAGCCCAUCUACCUCCUACCUCUCCAGCACCGACUUGGGUCUGACUGGAAAAGAUGACAGCACAUACCUCCUGAUCAGAACAUAUCAGCUCAUUGAUUAUCUUUGUGUUUUGCAAGAGGCCAUCCUCAUUCUUUCUCCAAGUGUAUUUCUGAAACUUCUUGGUCAGAUGAGGAAACAUUUCAAUCAUAGUUGUAACAUAUUAGAACUGGUAGUGGCUUCUAGCGGCCUCUAGCCUAGUAGCUCUCAACCUCAGCUGAACACUGCAAUUAAAGAAGGAAUUUUUUUAAAAAAACAUCAAUUCCUGAGUCCACCAUUUAAGAGAUUUUUUGUAAUUGGCCUGGGGCAUGGCCUGGCCAUCUGGUUUUCUUUUCUUUCCAUUCCUUUCUUUUAUGUCUUUCUUUUUAAAUGCUCCAAGUUGUGCUAAUGUCCAUUGCUGAAACUACAUGGUUCUCUUGCUGCACUUCAGACCAGCAGCCUCAACAUCACCUGGAACUUGACAGCCAUAUAUUCUCAUCCCCACCCCACACCCACUGACUCAGAAACUCCCCAUUGGAGCCCAGAAAUGUUUUAACAAGGCUUCCAGGUGUUUACAAUGCGCAAGCCAUGUUAGAAUUUGAGAACGAUUGCAGCACAAUAAUCCCUAACAGGAGGGUUGGCAUUUUAAGGAAAGACUCUCCCUUAAGCAGGUCUCGGUGGUGAUAGGUGUGUCUUUGUGGAGGUGCGGGAGUUGCCAGCAGCCAUUGGCCAAGGUCCAGGUGGUGACAUUGUCAGGCCUCAGUGAAGCUAGCAUUACUCUCUGCCUGGACUCCUACAGUAGCUUCUAACUAUACUCACCAAUUCCAUUCCUUUCCCUUUCCAAUUUGUUCUCCAUGCGGUGGCAGAGGAAACUUCUACAUGCAGACGUGAGAUUCCUGUCUCCUGUUUUCCACGCAUAAGGGCUUAAAAGAAGCACCCAUAGUUCCUGCCUGAGGCUGGGGUGGUGCCCUCAGUGGCCAGGCAGAUGAUCCAGAGGAGUGAAGUGACACAGCUGUGCUGAGAGGGAAUGCUGCAUGUCCAGCUACAGAUGCUAUCAACUCACACUUAGCCAAAUCAUGUCCUCGGCAAGCCGAAGGUGGCCACGGACUGUUACAAGGCAGCCAGUUUGAGACUCAGAGGUCUGGGGGUGGGGAAGGGGGUAGGAUUCACAAAACGACUUAAUGGAUAUAUAAUUAUUACACUGAGGUUCCUUGAUCAGAGGGGUAGUGGUUCCUCUUUCCCAUUCUGUUUAGUCAGGAUGCAUGGGCCUCAGAAGAGACCACCACUUCCCUUAAGGAGCUUAAAAAUCUAAAUGAGACAAAACCCACCUGGGGAAUGCAGUAGAAUGGCAUGAGCAUUGUGUUUCUAUUUCUAUAAGGAAGGACUUUGGUGGAGACGUGGCUCUUAUAACUGAUGUUUAUGUAAUGGGACCACAAUUGAACUUUGAGGAUUUAGAGCAAUCUAAUUCUGCAACCUUGAACUUGGCCUUUCUAGGCGAAAUGAAAUAGAUAACAUCCAAUCUUUAAGGAGCAUUUGCUAUGUUCUGGGUGCUCUACCAAGUGUGUCAAGGCAGUUUCUCAUUGAACCCUCACAGCAACCCAGUGAUACGGAUAAAUUAUUCCUGAGAAAAAAGCAGCGAUAGGUGAAGACACUUGUUCAAGGUCACAUAGUCCUAGCCCCUGUGAUAGAGCCCGGUCUGAAACCAGGCCCAAAGGACUCCGUGCUUUUAAGCAACACCCCGUAUUUCACAGUGGGAGCUCCAUGUCUAUGAAAUGGAAGCACUAACCUGUGUUGGUCCGAAACAGAUUUUAGCUUACUCAGGUCCAUGGCAACCUGAGCGUUUGGGUGGUGCUCUGAUGCCAACCCCUUUAUAGCUCAAUCUUCCCUUGUCUCCAUAUUAUUUACUCAGAAUCUUAUUUGCAUUUGCGGAGGAAGCUGCUAGUGGAGAAGCUGGCAGGAGCCUUAAUGAAGCCAGGUGGGACCCAUUGAGACGGGGCUGCGUUGAACUAACUCAUGAGGCGCUGAAGCCAGCUGUCAGCAGGCUUAAUGAAAGGUUAAGAGGAAUCCGGCAAUGGGCGGCUGGGGAGAGUCUUUGUCUCUCUUAAGAAAACAAAAAGUUGAGAUGUGGGCUCCCUGGGUGGAGGCCAGAGCAGAAGGAGGAAGCCACUUGUAACCGAAAGACUGCGUUUGAAAUAGAGUUUCAUUUAGAUUUGUGAACAUGUUACCGUCCUAAAAAAAAAAAAAAAAAAAAAAAGCACUCUGAGUUCUCAGCUCUCUGAGCAUCAAAGGACAGCAAAGGGAAGUUUUCUGGAAUAUGAUGAAUGCUAAUGCCACUGCUAAGGAGCUUGGGGAGCCUUGGAGAUGGCUGCCUGCAAAACAGAAGAGUCGUAUUGAAUGUUGCAGCUGCCACUGUGCCCCCUCCAGGGUAGUCUACUCGCAAGGAAGUGGAGCUCAUAUAUGAGAAUGAAGAACAAACCCCUGUGACGUUGGUUGAGUCUUAAUUAUGCCAAGACUGUAUCUCUACUUCAGUACAGGAUGCUGUCACAGACGAGAGACAACAAACAGGAGGGAGAUCAAAGUUUUACAGCCUCAUCCACCCAAGAAGGAUCGUCUAGAAACUGGUAGGAGACACUUCUUAACAGCUCAAAAAAUAGCUUAGCAUGUUGGCAACUUCACAGCAGAGCGGUUUGGACUUAGACCCACAUUUCAGCUCUGCACUUUUUUAACAAGUGGCUUGGAGCAAGUUUCCUAACUUUUCUAAAUCUCAGUUUCCUCAUCUGUUGAUAGGAACUAUAAGGGAACCUAACUCAAAGGCUUGCUUUGAAGAUGAAAGAAGUGAAUGCAUAUAAAACACUUAGCGUAGUGCCUAGCACAUAGUAAGUUCUCAAUGAAUAUUAGUUAAUAAAAAAUUAUUCUUAUAGUUGGAAAAUAGAAUCCCACUCUUACCACAUCUUAGAGCAGGCUCUGGGUCCAAAGAGACCUCUUUGAAUGUAUGCCAGAUUUUGUGGGUGUGAUUCUUUUGGGGGAGAAGGUUCAAAAUUUUUCUCAGAUUCUCCAGAGAACUUAUGACCCCCCAAAUGUUAGGACCUCAUGCAUUACAUAAAUAGGGAGCUAAAAAAGCAUCAGUGUUCUCUUUGUCAACAAAUAGCAUUGUCCUGCCCUCAGACAACCCUUUGCUAUACUGUUCCUGUGUAAUCCAAUAGAUUGGCUUGGAAUUGAUGAAAUCGGAGCUCUCUCUGAUGUCACCAGAAUAACUCAAAAUGUAGAAGUAGCUGCAAAGACACUGGAAGAAGGGAAACUACUAGACCAGUUUAGGAGUGCAGAGUAGAUUUUAGGUAAGAUAGAGGUUUCCUUUUCUCUUCUCCCCAAGAAGGGAACUUCCUGCUUGUUUAAUUGAUCUGACCUUAGCUAAUGUUCAGCAAUGAAGCAGAAUCUUCUCUUUCCCUGAUAAGGGUGUCCACAUGCCUAAGGCAUGUGGCGUUUUGGAACACUAUUCUGGUUUCCCAUUGCAGCUGCUGGAUUGUAAGUACUUCUUGCGUACAGCAACUUUUCCUCUGUUCAUUUGCUAAGCUGAUGGAAGUGGAAUUGAUAUCACCAUUUGUUGGGCAGAAGUUAAGCAUUGCUGUUGGUAUGUUUGAGACUGUUUACUGAUGGAUUUGAUAAAAUCAUUAAUGCUGUUAUGAUAUCACAUCUACUGUUGCAUCCUGUUGAGCUGCUCGCUCUCUCCCUUUUUUUUUUGUCCCAAGGGAAGAUGCUCACUUUCUACUCUGUCAGUAUCUAUAAAAGGAAGGUGGUGGGAUAAAACCAAAGAAAGUAGCCCACAGAGCAUGGGCCACCCCAAAUGGGAUGUUUUCUUUUAUCCUUGUGCUCUAACAAUACUCAAAAUGAGGACCUCCCACAAAUAACUAUUUUUCCUUGGCCAUUCAGACUUGCCUUGAGAAAUUUCAAGGACUCUAUUAUGAAGAAAGCUUUUAAGAACUGUAGAAAUCACAUUGCUUUUGAAAGUGCCAAUGCGAGUGGUGUGCUCUGCUGGCUGAAGCAGCAGGCUUCAGAGUGCUUUAUCUCUUAUCAGCGGUUUAGCUUUGUGAAUGAGAAAUUCAGAGGCAACUGUAUAAUUUUAAAUUCUGAUUACCACAAAGAAAGAGAUGUAUCUGACAUCCCAGUGCAGUGGCUUUGACUAUUUUAAUGGAAAUAUGCUGGAACUGGGGGAGCCUUCUACGGAGGAGAAAGUGAUGAAAGACCCAAAGAGAGACAUUUUUAUCUUUGAGAUAAAAGGCCUGUUUUCUAAGGUUGUUUCUUUUAUUAUGACUUUUUCCCCCCACCUGCUAUGGGGUGCACUAUGCAAAUGUAUCAUUCUAGGAACUGCUUCCUUAGCCUCUUUGUGCCUGAGAUUUCCUGGAGCAAGGGAAAGAGAGGACACGGUCUUGUUUACAAUGUACGUAAGUGAGAGUUUCACCUUGCAGAGAGCCUUAAAAAUAAGGAUCAGUUGGUUAAAUGGAUCUGUGUACCUCCUUGAUCCAGACACCACACUCCCUUUUGCCUAAAAUAAACAAAAGCAAGAUAUUCUCAUGUAGCUGCUCAUGUGAAGGGGAAUUUAAUCCUCUUUUAGUCGAAUCUAGAGGAAAUGCUGGAGGACUCCUUUAACUGACAUUGUGGGUAUUUUUAUUAAAAAAAAA